UAACUUACCUGGCAGGAGAGACAACUUGAUCAUGAAGGAGGUUUUCCCAGGGUGAGUGCAUCCAUUGCACUCUGGGUGUGCUGACCCCUGCGAUUUCCCCAAAUGCGGGAAACUCAACUGCAUAAUUUGUGGUAGUUUCACUGUUUUUAAUCUUUGUAAAC